AUGGCCACUUGGCAGAACAGAACCGAGCGCGGACGAUCGGAUCGUGGCCGGCGGGAACCACGAUUCGGUCCCUCAGGACUCCGCAGAGUUACGAAGUCUUCAAACCGAAAGCUAGCUGGUGUCUGGGGAAAGGGAAAAAGAAAAAACGCUGGGCUCGUCCGGGAUUUGAACCCGGGACCUCUCGCACCCAAAGCGAGAAUCAUACCCCUAGACCAACGAGCCGGUGUUACAGUGGCUCCUGGUGCCUGUCCUUGGAGGCCUGAGACCGCGGCUCCGCCCUCGGAUCCCGGGCUGAGAAUCCGCAGCCAGAUCCUGUGGAUGGUUUUGGUUUCGAUUCGAGAAGGAGAGGAGGAGGCGCAGCGCGGCCGGAAUCUCCGGGAGGCCAAUGCCUUAUCCAUUAGGCCACCGGGGCUGAUGAAAAACCUUCUUCGACAGUCUUAGACCAGCCUCUCUCUCACCUUCUCGCGGUUCUGUACAGCGUCCCGGCUCCAGCUUGGCUUGAUUUUGGUCCUCCUGACAACCAUAUGCGACAGGUGCAUUCGCUCAGAUCCCGCCCGCCCCCGAGCAUCCCGGGACCCCAGGGAGACUGCGCAUGCGCGAAGGAAACUGCUCAAAGACCCAAGGUAGCAGUUAGCUCCACUGUCUUGACCGGGAUACUAUCCUCGCUUAGGGUACACAAGGUCUGGGCAUCAAAUCCCGGACGAGCUCUUUCCCCCUUCUUUUAGGAGAAUCUACGUCCCGUGAGAACUAGCAUCAAGAAGGAGUUCACUAGGCAAAAUGUGGGCGCGAAGGGGAGAGAGGGCACAGCCCGGAGCUUGGGGAAAGCGUCGGUCACGACCUUCAUUCUCCUCUCCACGUUGCUUCUUAGACCAAGAGUGUUUCCUAGUCCCAAAUCUACGCGGUUUUUAGCAGAGCCCAGUGGUCUUAGGUCUUUGUCCUAAGGACCCUCCGUGAUGGCUCUGUAUAUGCCCACCUAGCUCAGUGUGUAGAGUGUGGAACUGUAAUAUCAGAGAGCCCGGCGUUUACUCUCCUAUCAGAAGAUGGGUAUUCUUUCCUCUCUCGAAGAUAUUUGUCAUUGUGGUUCCCAGAAGUGGGGUCGGGGGAGGCGCGAGCGGAAUUAGAUGAAGGCAGUCAAAAGGUACAAACUUCCAGCUGUAAGGAAGUACUGAGAUACAGUGUACAACAUAAUAAAGAUAAUUAACACUGCUGUGUUAGAAGAGCU
rnacentral:tRNA from 1 species